CGGACAGCCGCGUGCAGGUGCCCAACGGCGCUUGCAUGAGGAAAGUCCGGGCUCCACAGGGCAAGGAUAACGGGUAACGCCCGCCGAAGGCGACUUCAGGAAAAGUGCAACAGAGAUAUACCGCCUUACCGCUCCCGCGGUAAGGUAAGGGUGGAAAGGCGAGGUAAGAGCUCACCCGCCGCAUGGGAACAUCGCGGCGCUGUAAACUCUAUCCGGAGCAACACCGUGGAGGAGACGCAUGGUCUGCCCGACCGUCUCCGAGGAGGUGGCUUGAGCGUGCCGGCAACGGUACGUCGAGAUAGAUGGCUGUCGAUCACAGAACCCGGCUUACAGUUCCGAUCG
rnacentral:RNase_P_RNA from 1 species